rnacentral:rRNA from 1 species
AUGUGGUAUCUUCGUAAGGGAGUUGUGCUAACCAAAGACAACCUCGCACGGCACAAUUGGCAAGGGAGUAAGAAGUGUUAUUUUUGUACUCAUGAUGAGACAAUCAGACACCUCUUUUUCCAAUGCAACUUUGCACGUUCUACGUGGCCAGUCAUCCAAAUAGCGUCAAGUUUAUAUCCGCCCACAAGUGUUGCCAAUAUUUUUGGUCAUUGGUUGGACGGUAUUUCAAAUAGGUUCAAAACGCUAUUGAGGGUGGGAGCAUAUGCCUUACUAUGGUCGCUUUGGCUAUGUAGAAAUGAUUUUGCUUUGAUGACAAAAAUGCUUCUCCUUUGCAGGCUAUUUUCCGUCGUACGCACUCGCUUCGUACGUGGCCUAUGCUACAACGAGCGGAGGUCCAACUGUUGGUGUCAAAACCGGCAGAUCCCGGGUUGGGGGUCCCGAGCUGUGUGUCAUGGAUCGAUGGGUAACAGGAGACAGGGGACACGAUGUUUACCCAGGUUCGGGCCCUCUCUAUGGAGGUAA